rnacentral:lncRNA from 1 species
GCUAGAAACAUAGAAAACAAUUGCCUCUGAGCACGUGUAUGGAUUUCCUUGCAGGAGUCUGAGCUGGCAGUUAUUUUAAUUAGCAACACAUUUUAUAAGGGCAGAAUCAGAAAUGGAAACAUGUCAAAGCCUCUUUAGCUAUUGAGUUUGGCAGACUAACAUGCGUGUGCCUGGGUAUGGUAAUCAGCUCUUGACUCCCCUCCAUCUCUCCCAAGAGAGCCAUGUGAACAUACAGAGCCCCCUACUUGGAUAUGGGAGGACUUAUCAAUAUCACACACCAAAUGCUGAAGAUUCAGGAGUCCUCUUGAAGCCACUUCUGGGGAAAGCCUUCUCAAGGGAGAAGGAUUCCUCAUUGCCCGAGCCAUGGAAAAGAUGGCAGAAGGCACCUCUUACAGCUCAAUAAGGUCUUGGGCUGAAAAAGUUGUAGAGGAUUGCUGUGUGGACCCUGCUGUCCUUCACAUGGACAUCCAGACCUGACCCUCCAUCUCACAUCUCCCAGCUCCACAAGGUCAUUGCUCCUCCUCCCCUGAACCAUACCUCGGCCACAAGUCCGAUAGAUAACUCUUUCAAAAAAUUUCUUGUGUUGGCAUAAUGUUUAUGCCUCACCUCUCUCAAGCUUGCCUUCUGACUGCUGGGUCACAAAAGCCCGUGUUGGAGGUUGAAAACAAAAUGGAAAAGAAAAGCUCACCCCACCUGCUGUUUCUUACCCUUUCAUUCCUGCUUCCCCCAGACUUAGUGUGAAAACCACUGAGGAAAGGUCACAUGCAAGGAAGCAGAGAAAAGGAAAGCAUGCUGAUUCAUAUUCCAAAAUACCAUCACACUAAUUAAUCACCGUCUGCCCCUCAGUGACUUCGAGCUGCUUGAGGGCAGAAGUGCCACUCCUGAUACCGCCGGCACCCCACUUCUCAGGACCACUUCAGGCACAGCUGCGCAGCCUCAGAACUACUCCCUAAAUGGAUACACAUGUGAGCUAUCAUUAUUUUUGAUUAUCAGAUAUGGAGAAAUUUGGCUGCAACAAAUGGUGUUCUUAACAACUUCCAACGGUGCAAAGUUUCGAUCAAGCAAAAAAAAAAGCUCUACUUCUCAGUAGAAUACUGGAGUACUUCGUGUAAACUGCUGAAUUAAACAGAUUUAUGAUAGUUCUGCAAAAGUAAAAGUUUACAAGGUGUUUUAAAGAAACUGAUAUCACAGGCCAUAUAAUUUCCACAAGCAUUUCAAUGUGAGACUGUAAUUUCUCUGCAUCUGAUGGUGAUGUAAGUGCAGGCGUCAAACAUUCAGCCCUCCACCCUCAGUCAAAUGGGAUGACCAAUAGAUAUAAAAUUAGGGAAAAACCUGCAACAGCACUGGAAAAUAGGAAGGAUGCCAUGCAUAUGCCUGACACGUUAGGGCAUGUGUAUUUCAUA